UACGAAGGGGGCGAGCGUUGUUCGGAUUUACUGGGCGUAAAGCGUGCGCAGGCGGCUAUGCAAGACAGAUGUGAAAUCCCCGGGCUCAACCUGGGAACUGCAUUUGUGACUGCAUGGCUAGAGUACGGUAGAGGGGGAUGGAAUUCCGCGUGUAGCAGUGAAAUGCGUAGAUAUGCGGAGGAACACCGAUGGCGAAGGCAAUCCCCUGGACCUGUACUGACGCUCAUGCACGAAAAGCGUGGGGAGCAAACAGG
rnacentral:rRNA from 1 species